GGGGGAAGCAAAGAAUGAGUCACACAGCAGGACAGGGUGGAGUGGCAACCUUGGCCCCAGGAACCUCUGCAUGGCUUCCUCCCUUCUCUCUGAUUAGUUGGUCCGUCUCCCUCACAGGGUUUUCCCUUUUCCCUUGAAAGCCAGCUGUCUCUUCAUUCUACAUACUUCCCCCCAGAUCACUCCAUUCUCUGUGGGAGCUUCCAGAACCAUGUGUGGGUGACUCGCAGAUAUGUGUCCAGCCCAGAUAGAACUGCUAGUCAACCUGGCAACGUACCAAAGGCUCUUCAAAUUCUACACACCCAAACAGCCCUCCUCUGCAGGGUCCUCAGGCAAAAGAGCUCUGCUGUCUGCUAAGUCAAUCUACCAGACGCUUAGGAGCAGCCUGGACUACUUACCCUCCUUCCUCACUGUCCACAUUCUGACAAUUCUUCCUCUUGGCUCUCACUUGGUUCUGGUCACUUUUUGUCCACAUGACUGUCACAGACUUUUCCCUGACCUUCCUCCAAUUAAAAAUAUAAAUGUAGGGGCUGGAGAGAUGGUUCAGCAGUUAAGAGUACUUCCAGAGGACCCAGGUUCAAUUCCUAGAACCCAAGUUGGAUGGUUCACAACUAUCUGUAAAGCUAGCUCCAUACCAACACCCUCUUCUGGCCUCUUUGGGUACACACACACACACACACACACACACACACACGCAUGCAAAUGUUUUUUUAAUUUUUAAAAUGAUGACCAGUUAAAUAACAACAAAUAAUGUUUUGUUUUGUUUUUGUUUUUGUUUUUUUUUUUUUUGGUUCUUUGAGACAGGGUUUCUCUGUGUAGUUUUGCACCUCUCUGGAACUCACUUGGUAGCCCAGGCUGGCCUCGAACUCACAGAGAUCCGCCUGGCUCUGCCUCCCGAGUGCUGGGAUGAAAGGCGUGCACCACCACCGCCCGGCUCAAAUAAUGUUUUUUAAAAAGAACAUGUAUCAGCCAGUCGGUGGUGGUUCACACCUUUAAUCUCAGCACUUGGGAGGGAAGCAGAGGCAGGUGGAUCUCUGUGAGUUCGAGGCCAGCCUGGUCUACAGAGUGAGUUCCAGGACAGCCAGGGCUAUUCAGAGAAACAAACAAAAACAGAAACAAAACAAAACAACUCUUCUCUCUCUCUAUGUGUGUGUGCAGACAGAUAGACUAUAUAUAUAUAUAUAUAUAUAUAUAUAUAUAUAUAUAUAUAUAUAUAUAUAUAAAUUUAGCUCAUACUUGUAAUCUCAGCACUCUGGAGGCUAAGGCAGGAGGGUUGCAAGUUCAAGGCCAGCCUGAGUUACAUAGCAAAACUCUAUCUUAGUAAAACAAAACUACCAUUCUUGUAAAAUGUAUAAAUGUGAUUGGAAACGGCUUUGACUGCUGCCCCUAAAGAACUGUUAGACCUCUGCAGUCUUGCUUUGCCUGGCUCUGGUGCAUUAUUACCCCUCUGUCUCUCUCAUCCCACCAAACCGCUCAGACACACCACUCUCCAACAGUAUCCAUUUGGCCCUCACUAUUCCGCACCAUCCCUCCCUCUAAGCGUCUCCUUUCCACCUAGAAAAUUCUGUUUUUGUGUUUAAAGCCUACCUGUCUGAAGCCCACCCAUUGUGGCCCUGCCCGGAUACAUGCCAACUACGCGGGAACUAGGACUCCUCUGGCUCCCCACUGCCCUCAUGUACUCUGUCCUAUCCAAGUGUGUCUUCCAUCCCUGGCAUACAUUGUUGAUGGCUAGCAAAUGCCUAGUCAACCGGAGCUGUUUGUUUAAACGAUCUCGUGAUCGUUUCUUUUUUUUUUUUUUUUUUUUUUUUGGUUUUUCGAGACAGGGUUUCUCUGUGUAGCUUUGCGCCUCUCCUGGAACUCACUUGGUAGCCCAGACUGGCCUCGAACUCACAGAGAUCCGCCUGGCUCUGCCUCCCGAGUGCUGGGAUUAAAGGCGUGCGCCACCACCGCCCGGCUCGUGAUCGUUUCUAAUCUGGCUCCUUGGCCAAGACUAAGAACUCCUUUAGGCAAACUCUAACGCCAUAGUUCUCAACCUGUGGGUCGCGACCCCUUUGGUUGAAAGACCCUUUCACAGGGAAUGCCUAAGACAAUUGCAAAACAUAGAUAUUUACACUACUAUUCAUAACAGUAGCAAAAUUACAGUUAUGAAGUAGCAACGAAAUAGUUUUACGGUUGGGGGGUCACCACAACAUGAGGAACUGCCUUAAAGGGUCGCAGCAUUAGGAAGUCUGAGAACCACGGCUCUAGUGUAUACCCAGCAGUAGCAGGUGUCAGGAUUUGCCUGCUGAGAGUGAAUGAGAGCACUACCGUGGGAUUCCUGUACUUAGGAAGACAAAGUGAUGGCAGCCCUAGGCUACUGCAGAGGACCCAGGGCUUGAAGAGCUGGUCUCACUCUCCUCCUCCACACUAAGGAGCCCUUCCUCCUGAACCCGCAGUAAUACUCCUCUCCUGCAAGCUAGUCCCUUCCCUCCCAGUGCUCCUGGGACAUAUUCACUGUACCCAGUUUGCUCCGUCCUGCUGAACCCUCCCCCACUCCCUUCCCUCAUAAUUGCAUUUGGGUUUGAACUGCCAAGAGGUUCUACUGACCACAUUGCCAUGCCUGGAAGAACUGAGGACUCGUGAGUGAAGAAUGCUAAGUCAUGCAGCCUCUAGGAAGGUUCCCCUCUAGGCGGCAGGGACCCUCCCCACACCCAGCAAUGGGCAGAAGUCCUGAGAGUGAGGUGGGGACAGAUGUUCACCCCUUUGGCUUGUGAGAAAAGGCCUGAAGAUCUUCCCUCCUCUCUAUUUUAAAAUUUUUUCCUAAAAAAUCUGGCUAGGCUCACAAAGAACGCGGGGGUGAGGCGGAAUGGGAGUGGAGCUAAGGAUCCAGCUUCAGAAAGAGUCAGUGAAAUGUCCCGUGUCAUCUCCUAACCACCGUGGCCGGGCGCCUCGGAUCCAUCCGUUCGCCUUGCUGCAGACAUGGCGACGAUGUGCCUCCUUCCUGGGUCUCCCAGUGGCCCGGGAAAUCCGCCAGGCCGCGGUACACGUCCUGUCCCGCUGCAGUCCUUACCCUGCCCCGCGCUCUGCUCCUUUUGUGUUUUGCACACACCUUUCUGCUGAAAAAUUCUUCCUUCGUCUCCACUUAACUCGUAGAUCUUUGAGGACCCUUCUGAAUCCUAGACCAGGUGAAGAGGAAUGUAAGACACGUCCAUCCAGGUUUACAGACUCCAGUGGAUUCUUCCCAGAGUUCUGUUUACUAAGUUGCUCCUGCUGCUGCUGCUCCUCUGGGGGUGGGGGUGGGGGGGUAAGUUCUCUUUCUCUUUCCCUCCCUCCCUCGGUCCCUCCGUCCCUCCGUGUCUCUCUCUGUUCUCUCUGUCUCUGUCUCUGUCUCUCUGUGUGUGCAGGUACCCAGAGGUCAGAAGAGGACAUCAGAAGCCCUAGAGCUGCUAGGAACCGAACUUUGCUCCUCCACAAGGCUCCCUCUGGGAAGGGGUGAGAAGGCGCAGCAUCAACGACUCAGACACCAGGAAUACGUUGAAAGCAAAUAACGAACUCAUUUAUCCAAUAACAAGAAAGGUGAGACUGUGGAGAACAAAAAGGCCCAGAAAGCCACGGCCAUCGACGUCUGCAUGGAGACAGAGAAGUGGCUGCAGAGGCACCUGUCACUCACCAGCAGCUUCUCCAGUCAGGACACUGAGAGAUCCAUCACCCCAAAUGUAGGAGUGUCUAUGACUGUGUCCACCCUGCUCGAUAUAUAUAUGCCAGAGACACAGAAACUACAAGCUAUCCAGGGCCUGGCUGCAGGCCGGGCCAUGAAGAUCUAUCUGGUCUCACUACAUAGCCCCGGUUGUCCCGGAACUCACUCCGUAGACCAGACUGGCCUCGCGUUCACAGAGGUUGCCUGCUGGAUUAAAGGCAAAUGCCACCACACAGGGCCCGCUUGAAUACAAUCUUUGAGACAUGA